AAGUCCUAAAUAAAUUUUAGGUGUGUCGAACGAACAAGAACUGGUCCAUAUUUUUCAAAGAUGGGUUCGGGAGUGCGAUUACGCAUGGAGAAGGGUUAGCACUUCUGUGACGCCCAUUCCACAAACGGUACCAUUCAAUCUUAAGUUAUCUUAUUCUAGCCCACCCUUGAUUUUAUUCUUAUAUUUCCUCAAUCCGUGCUUAUUAACUAAAUCUUUAUUAAAUUAGCUGAUUGAGUCUUUUAUUCAGUUUCAAGGAUGCACAUGAUGCAAUCAAAAUGAUAUUAUGAUUUGUUCAAUUUUAAAUGAUGAGGUCGGUAAUCUUUUAUCAGAAAAUCGUUCGUAAACCAUCUCAACGCUUUGGUGAAGUCUCGAAGUUUUCCUCACCUAAGGAUAUCCUGGGAAGAACUCAUCUCUACAAGCUUUUCAACGAAAUCCCAUCAUCUGAAUUCUCGCCUCAUCGACAAAAUGUAGG
rnacentral:lncRNA from 1 species